rnacentral:rRNA from 1 species
UGGGGAAUAUUGCACAAUGGGCGCAAGCCUGAUGCAGCCAUGCCGCGUGUAUGAAGAAGGCCUUCGGGUUGUAAAGUACUUUCAGCGGGGAGGAAGGGAGUAAAGUUAAUACCUUUGCUCAUUGACGUUACCCGCAGAAGAAGCACCGGCUAACUCCGUGCCAGCAGCCGCGGUAAUACGGAGGGUGCAAGCGUUAAACGGAAUUACUGGGGUUAAAGCGGACGCAGGCGGUUUGUUACGUCGGAAGUGAAAUCCUCGGGCUCAACCUGGGAACUGUAUCUGAUACUGACAAGCUUGAGUCUCGUAGAUGGGGCUAGAAUUCCUGUUGUAGCAGUGAAAGGCGUAGAGAUCUGGAGGAAUACCGGUGGCGAAGGCGGCCCCCUGGACGAAGACUGACGCUCAGGUGCGAAAGCGUGAGGAGCAAACAGG